AUAACUUUGCUGCAUUGUUCUUCAGGGUCACUGCCAGUGAAACUGUACACCUCAGACCUCCAAGAACUGGAACAGUUACACUAGUCCAAAAGCCUGACAUUUGUUCAGCAAGUCUAAAUGGAAGGUGUUGCACUUAAGCUGCGACAAUCCCACAUAUGUGUAUGGACUGGGAGAAGAACUCGUUGAGAGCAACCCUUUGGAGAAGGACCUGGGGAUUCUGGAGUGUGAAAAGCCAGCAACCCAGAAGACCAACUGUAGCUCACGCUGCAUCAACAGAGGGGUGACAGCUGUGGAGAGAGAGGUAACUUAAAGCUUACUGCAUCAAUUUGCCUACUGAAGAUGGAUGGAAGUUCUUUUUUUUUUUUCUUCCUUCCUGUACAUGGCAGAUCAAUUGUGAUGACAAAUAACAAUCGAACAUCAGUAAUGUAAAAAUAACAACAACAAACAAGCCCAAAGAAGUUCAGAAAUAAAAGCAUAUGUACAGA